rnacentral:sRNA from 1 species
AAACAAAAUUGACGAGUCUUGUCUUACAAAAAAAAGUUGAUUAGUCUUUUACAAUCAGUAACUAGAUCAUAACCUGUGCUAUACACCACGGACAUUAAUAUUUUGUAUAAAUUAAAUUGUAUAUUUUAUUUGAAUUACAUAAAAAAUAGUAUAGUAUAAAAAUGAUGCUAUAAUAUUUUUUAAUAUUUUUACUAUUUGGAUAUAAUGCUGCAUUGGAUUGACUUUGUUUAAAAAUA